UACGUAGGGUGCAAGCGUUGUCCGGAAUUAUUGGGCGUAAAGAGCUCGUAGGCGGUGUGUCACGUCGGCCGUGAAAACCUGCAGCUUAACUGUGGGCGUGCGGUCGAUACGGGCAUCACUGGAGUUCGGCAGGGGAGACUGGAAUUCCUGGUGUAGCGAUGAAAUGCGCAGAAAUCAGGAGGAACACCGGUGGCGAAGGCGGGUCUCUGGGCCGAUACUGACGCUGAGGAGCGAAAGCGUGGGGAGCAAACAGG
rnacentral:rRNA from 1 species